UACGUAGGGGGCGAGCGUUGUCCGGAAUUACUGGGCGUAAAGGGUGCGUAGGCGGUUUUUUAAGUCAGAUGUGAAAUCCCCGGGCUUAACCCGGGUAUUGCAUUUGAAACUGGGAAGCUAGAGUGCAGGAGAGGGAAGCGGAAUUCCUAGUGUAGCGGUGAAAUGCGUAGAUAUUAGGAGGAACACCAGUGGCGAAGGCGGCUUUCUGGACUGCAACUGACGCUGAGGCACGAAAGCGUGGGUAGCAAACAGG
rnacentral:rRNA from 2 species